UACGGGGGGGGCAAGCGUUGUUCGGAAUUACUGGGCGUAAAGCGUGCGUAGACGGUUAUGUAAGUUCGGAUGUGAAAGCCCCCGGGCUCAACCUGGGAAAUUGCAUUCGAGACUGCAUAGCUAGGGAUGCGGAAGAGGGAAGUGGAAUUCCCGGUGUAGCGGUGAAAUGCGUAGAGAUCGGGAGGAACAUCAGUGGCGAAGGCGGCCAUCUGGGACAACACUGACGCUGAAGCACGAAAGCGUGGGGAGCAAACAGG
rnacentral:rRNA from 1 species